CGCGUGUGUGAUCCCGCAACCCGUAUGGUAGUGAACUAAAGUGUUCUUCAACGAGAGUUGUGUCACGUUAAGCUCGUCAAUUUGCUUGGAAGGCUCGGUGGAAGAAAAAAAAUUGUGUAAAAUUGUAAUUUGUAAGCAACAAACAGGCAAACAGCGGGGCCCCCGUUCGUCUAGUCGUUUAGUGGCCAAUCCAGGUGUUGGAUACAAUUUUAGGGUACCUUCCCUUACGCAUAGACACGCGCGCGAGCUUACCCUGCCCGCAGGUCCCCGGGGGUAAGAAAAAGUGUGCAUCAUCUAAGUCAAUGCUUACUGCAAACGAAGUGAAAAGCUAGUGAAACGCGUCGGCUGAAAUUUUCUAUCGCUUGCGGCCUGCAAAACACGGGGCAACCUUCCUUUUGCACCACUCGCAAACCUAAUCAGUUGGCGUAGGAAAACUUCAGACAAGAGAGCUGGCAGCGAGCAUCUUUGCAGCGGGCUGAAGAAAUCUUAUCACAAUGGAUAAAAGGAAAUUAUCUACGUCCGGGGAUACCCUUUAUCAGACGUUAGGCAUCCAAAAGACGGCCACGGCGGAUGAGAUCAAGAAAACAUACCGAAAGCUCGCGCUGAAGUAUCAUCCGGAUAAGAACCCCAACAAUCCAGAUGCGGCAGAAAAGUUCAAAGAAGUAAACCGAGCUCAUUCCAUUUUGAGUGAUUUGACGAAGAGGAACAUCUACGACAACUACGGCUCGCUGGGACUGUACAUUGCAGAACAAUUUGGCGAAGAGAACGUCAAUGCUUACUUCGUCGUGACGUCGCCUACGUGCAAGGCACUGUUCUUGAUUUGUGGUAUUAUCACCGGGUGUUAUUGUUGUUGCUGCUGUUGCUGUUGCUGCAACUUCUGCUUUGGCAAAUACAAACCGGUACCUCCAGAGAACGCCGGCGAUUAUCACCAUCUACACGAGGAUUUGGCUGAUUUGGAGGAUAACGGAGGCAGCAGUGGCCCAGUGACGUCCCAACCGCAAGCUGGCCAGGCGCAGGGAGCCGGAAUGCCCGUUUACGCGAUGCCACCACCAUCGGCGAACCCUACGAACCCGUUCACGGGAGCAGCGGCCGCAACGGAGAGCACAGGCCUAAACAAGGGCAACCAACCCAUCUACACGCCAGGAGAUUUGCUACAGUUUUGAAGUUGUGUUCUGCGUUUCCGUUAUCUUUGAAUCACCCAGGAACGCGAUGCACAUCAUAUGGUUCUGUACUUGUAGUGUAGAAUCACCUAUUGUCUGUAUAUGAUUUUCUGCAAUUGAACACCACUUUUAUGAAACCUUACAAGAAAUUCGACAUUUUUUCGUAGUUGUGAUGUAUGAAGUGAGCGCAGCAUAGUCGCCGCCAUCAAUAAAACUGUUGGUUUGAGGGAAAUCAAUCGCACGUUGGUGGAUGGUGAUAACGAGUUCAUUCGCGCACCGUUCCACCAACCCUUCUCCUUUUGUGCUGCGAAAUGCACCGAACCAAACAACCAUUAUACAAUAUACCGUAACAAUAAUAACAAACUCUAAUAAUCGUUGCUCGUAUCGACCGCAAACGUUUCCCUGCAAUGCAAAGGUAACCUCGUAAAGGCAGCGGAACAAAACAGUAUCUUUAAGGUAUAUUUGUACGUUAAGGAGUUACAUAAACGAUGUCCCGAACGUUUUCUCACUCGCAAAAGUUUGUUCACUGAGAAGAUGCAUUAUAAAAGAUGUGUAGUAGAAGAUCGUGUGUGUGUGAGUGUUAGUGUUAGCGACUCCGAAAACAUCAGAUUCAACUGAGAUAAGCAAAAGACAAAAUCAAAACCAAUCCAGCAAAGGCUAACAUUAUUUUACUUAGGCUGGCAACGCUAGCAACAGUAAUCGUAAACUACAACCAGUUGAAGAAUACGAAUAGCGUGAAAAUGCAAUUGAUGAUGAAAAAGCAGAUCUUUGGUACAACCGCUCUUUUGAGAUCGUCCUUAAACUAGUGAAUGUUUCAAGUUUCAGAGCGGUUGCUAUAAUUUCCUUCUCAUAAAGACGAUGAAAGAGUGUGCACAGUAUGGACAGACACCUGCCGCAAGGUGGAUUUGCAGCAGAAAUAAAACAACGCAUAGUAUUUGGUCGAUAGUCGAGUUGAAAAUGAAUUAUACCAUUGGUGGAAAAGAGGAAAUCCGCGAUUCCCCGUCAUUUAUUAAGUGUUACUAUUUCGAUUUUUGCAAAUACUACUUCAAUUUGAGGCAUCAUAUUAUCACCUAAAAGCAGGUGCGGCAUUAGCAAAAGUCCAUCAACACCGGUCCAUUAUCCGGAGCUUACGAGAAUAUUAAGUAAAUCAAUUUUGCGCGUUAUUUUUGUGUAGUACGUAUCCAAAGGUCGUGCAAAAGAAGGUACGGAUAAAACAAAGCGAAGCGUAAACUAUGAACACAAAGCUAGCGAAGGAAAAGAAUAUAUCUAUAUACAUACAAAAUUCAUAUAUCUUAUAUCCAUUUAUCCCGAAUUUCCAAAGCAUUUGAAGCACGAACCUAAACGGACGUUGUUAAAGGGUGGAGUCGAUGGUAUGUGGUGUACACGGAAUUAAAUAGCGACGAAACACGGUUGUAGGGCAGGGAGAUGCGUAGGGACGGACCAGUUAGAAUUGGUUUAAAACAACAGCAAAACAACCACAGCAACGAUUGCAGACAUAAGAGAUGGGCUGGAGCAUACAAGGAAGACCUGACGACGAAUUGGACAAUGCGGACAUAAGCGAUGCUAGCAAUUAUAUAUUGUGAAAUAUAUUUACUAAUGGUGAAAAAAAACCAGUAGCGAGCAUCCACAAGGACGGAAGCUAGUUUCUCUUAGCAGAAAAGUUGCGUAGCGGAGUGACACAUUACCCAGAUCAGUACGGAAGGAAAUAAACUCAGACCUGAACGACGAAACAUUCAUUGCCACGUUAUGCAG